rnacentral:rRNA from 1 species
UUGGAAACGACUGCUAAGACUGGAUAGGAGACAAGAAGGCAUCUUCUUGUUUUUAAAAGACCUAGCAAUAGGUAUGCUUAGGGAGGAGCUUGCGUCACAUUAGUUAGUUGGUGGGGUAAAGGCCUACCAAGACUAUGAUGUGUAGCCGGGCUGAGAGGUUGAACGGCCACAUUGGGACUGAGACACGGCCCAAACUCCUACGGGAGGCAGCAGUAGGGAAUUUUCGGCAAUGGAGGAAACUCUGACCGAGCAACGCCGCGUGAACGAUGAAGUAUUUCGGUACGUAAAGUUCUUUUAUUAGGGAAGAAUAAAUGAUGGAAAAAUCAUUCUGACGGUACCUAAUGAAUAAGCCCCGGCUAACUAUGUGCCAGCAGCCGCGGUAAUACAUAGGGGGCAAGCGUUAUCCGGAAUUAUUGGGCGUAAAGGGUGCGUAGGCGGUUAAAUAAGUUUAUGGUCUAAGUGCAAUGCUCAACAUUGUGAUGCUAUAAAAACUGUUUAGCUAGAGUAAGAUAGAGGCAAGUGGAAUUCCAUGUGUAGUGGUAAAAUGCGUAAAUAUAUGGAGGAACACCAGUAGCGAAGGCGGCUUGCUGGGUCUUUACUGACGCUGAGGCACGAAAGCGUGGGGAGCAAACAGGAUUAGAUACCCUGGUAGUCCACGCCGUAAACGAUGAGUACUAAACGUUGGGUAAAACCAGUGUUGAAGUUAACACAUUAAGUACUCCGCCUGAGUAGUACGUACGCAAGUAUGAAACUUAAAGGAAUUGACGGGACUCCGCACAAGCGGUGGAUCAUGUUGUUUAAUUCGAAGGUACCCGAAAAACCUCACCAGGUCUUGACAUGCUUCUGCAAAGCUGUAAAAACACAGUGGAGGUUAUCAGUUGCACAGGUGGUGCAUGGUUGUCGUCAGCUCGUGUCGUGAGAUGUUGGGUUAAGUCCCGCAACGAGCGCAACCCUUAUUGUUAGUUACCAGCACGUAAUGGUGGGGACUUUAGCAAGACUGCCAGUGAUAAAUUGGAGGAAGGUGGGGACGACGUCAAAUCAUCAUGCCCCUUAUGACCUGGGCUACAAACGUGAUACAAUGGCUGUUACAAAGGGUAGCUGAAGCGCAAGUUUUUGGCGAAUCUCAAAAAAACAGUCUCAGUUCGGAUUGAAGUCUGCAACUCGACUUCAUGAAGUUGGAAUCGCUAGUAAUCGCGAAUCAGCAUGUCGCGGUGAAUACGUUCUCGGGGUUUGUACACACCGCCCG